rnacentral:rRNA from 1 species
CCUGGGAGGCUGCAGUGGGGAAUAUUGGACAAUGGGCGAAAGCCUGAUCCAGCCAUGCCGCGUGUGUGAAGAAGGCCUUCGGGUUGUAAAGCACUUUCAGUGGGGAAGAAAGCCUUGGGGCUAAUACCCUCGAGGAAGGACAUCACCCACAGAAGAAGCACCGGCUAACUCCGUGCCAGCAGCCGCGGUAAUACGGAGGGUGCGAGCGUUAAUCGGAAUUACUGGGCGUAAAGCGCGCGUAGGCGGUCUGAUAAGCCGGUUGUGAAAGCCCCGGGCUCAACCUGGGAACGGCAUCCGGAACUGUCAGGCUAGAGUGCAGGAGAGGAAGGUAGAAUUCCCGGUGUAGCAGUGAAAUGCGUAGAGAUCGGGAGGAAUACCAGUGGCGAAGGCGGCCUUCUGGACUGACACUGACGCUGAGGUGCGAAAGCGUGGGUAGCAAACUGGAUUAGAUACCCUUGUAGUC